rnacentral:rRNA from 1 species
UACGGAGGGUGCAAGCGUUAUCCGGAUUCACUGGGUUUAAAGGGUGUGUAGGCGGGUAAUUAAGUCAGUGGUGAAAUCUCCAGGCUCAACCUGGAAACUGCCAUUGAUACUAUUUAUCUUGAAUCUUGUUGAGGUAGGCGGAAUAUGUCAUGUAGCGGUGAAAUGCUUAGAUAUGACAUAGAACACCGAUUGCGAAGGCAGCUUACUAAGCAAGGAUUGACGCUGAGGCACGAAAGCGUGGGGAUCAAACAGG